rnacentral:rRNA from 1 species
AACGAACGCUGGCGGCAUGCCUAACACAUGCAAGUCGAACGAGAUCUUCGGGUCUAGUGGCGCACGGGUGCGUAACGCGUGGGAAUCUGCCCUUUGGUUCGGAAUAACAGUUGGAAACGACUGCUAAUACCGGAUGAUGACGAAAGUCCAAAGAUUUAUCGCCAGAGGAUGAGCCCGCGUAGGAUUAGCUAGUUGGUGUGGUAAAGGCGCACCAAGGCGACGAUCCUUAGCUGGUCUGAGAGGAAGAUCAGCCACACUGGGACUGAGACACGGCCCAGACUCCUACGGGAGGCAGCAGUGGGGAAUAUUGGACAAUGGGCGAAAGCCUGAUCCAGCAAUGCCGCGUGAGUGAUGAAGGCCUUAGGGUUGUAAAGCUCUUUUACCCGGGAUGAUAAUGACAGUACCGGGAGAAUAAGCUCCGGCUAACUCCGUGUCAGCCGCCGCGGUAA